CCCGAUUCACUGCGUGUUUCGAACCCUAAUUUUUGAAACCCUAUUUAAAGAAUAGCCGUCUCGAUCCCUCAUCCCAGCUCGCCGUCGACGUUUUCACGUCAAGUUUAUGUAGAUUUCUUCUUGAAUUCCUUGUUUCAAUUUUUUAUGUUCGUGUUUGUGUAUUCAAUUUGUAUCGGGAUUCCCAAUUAUUGUUCCCAGGUUUUGCAUCUGUUUUAUCCUCUCCUGAUGUUGCAGAUUCAAUGCUAAAGGAGAUAUAGCGGAUGCGCACAAUGAAAGAUUUUCUGCUUGAGAUCUUGAUCUGCCAUGCUCAUCUCGGGUAUAGCAAGUUUUGAUGCUAAGACGUUUUGGAAUUACACACGUUUAACUUUCGGAUGCCAAGAACAAUUACCGUUAAGUAGUGGAUGUCUGGAUGAUGUGCAUUUUGGUUCUUUCACAUUUCUGGUAGGAACUUUGGUUAUGGAUAUACGUCGUUAACAAGAUCAGUAUUUAUCUCUGAUGUAAUCGCUCAUGAAAUUUUGUAUCUGCACCACCUCAAUUAUGUAUAGAUGAUGAUGACAAGCAACAAACUUUUUAUCAAAUUCUUUAAAAUUUAAGUUUGUUUUAUGUACCUACUGCUUCUUGUAUAUUAGAUUUAUGUGAUAAAUCUUUGAUUGGCUUCAA